CAUAUCAGAUUUACGUGAAGAUAGAAAGCAAUGAACUCUACUUGGAUUUUCAAAUGGAAUCUUUAUGGAGCUAUGGCUUAGGAAUUGACCUUUCCAUUUGUAUGGGUUCCCAGGUUCUAAAACUAACUUUGGCCUGCAAGAAAGAAGUUAGAGGAGGAAGUGAAAUCACAGCAGUCAGUAAAGUGAAAGAUAGUUCUUUAUUUUCUCUCUUGCCUGCAUUGCUCAUCUGCAAACAAUUUAUAAUAGUGCAACAUCCCCUAGUUAUAGAAUGGUCAUUGUGCAUGCAUGGGGAGUAACUUCUUUCCUGUUCUGUGACCCACAGGAUUCGGUUUCUCUAUUGGCAUGUAAUUGCAAACACAAUUCACUUGUAAAAAUUUCCAGUUUCUUGUGAAAAUUCCAUUUGUAAAUUUUGUUCUUUGGCUGCCUCCAGUAAAUUUUUAUAUGAAAAUAAAAAGAGCUUGUCCCUUUAGCUAUUCUUUUAUGGCAUGCUUGGAUAUUAUGAACCAUCCAUCAUAAUUUGGGAUGACAUGUAAAAUAUUUAAGCUACUUUUCUGGGUUAAAAGGGAGCAAAGGAUGGUUAUUCUGUGAUCUCAUUAUCUGAAUUGACAUUCUUUCUGUAACCAGAACCAUAAUCAUGUUGAUUUUUCUUAUCUUUAUGUUGACAAAAUUUGUUUCCCUUUUUGAUAUAACUUCACAGAACUUACUGCUAAUAUAUCUUUUAUAUCUUUUCCUCUUUCAUCCCUGUUCUCCUUCAGUCUGCUAGGUCAGAGUAUAAGGACUCUCAAGAAUAUGGAGUAAUUAUUAAAUACCAGUUCAAAAUAUCCAUUAAGUUUUUAUACAGCAUUGAUACUGACUGCCACUCACAUAGAAUUAAAGAUUUCUCUUCUCUAAAAGGAGACAUCUAUAACAAUACUUCCAUUCUUCCAAAUUUGGGAUAGCCUUUGCCAUAGGAAGAAAGGAGAGUCUUGUGUUUAAUGUGUACUCAAACCGUACUUUAUGUAAUAUGCAUGUGUGAACAUGAUAUGCUGUGCCUUCAAGUGGUAAGCUUUUUUAAAAUUAAACACAGGAGUUUCUGUUUUUGAGUAGCUAUUUUUAAGUAUAAAAAGAUAACCAUACAAGUUAAGUAGAGUUAAGAAUCUAAACAUGUUCUAUGUAGUCAGUGUUCAUUGUGAGUAAGGCUUGGAAAAAUCAACUUGAUAUAAAGUUGGAUGGCUUUGCUUCUCUAUCUCUGGUGGAAACCAUUUUUCUGGAAAAUCUUCUACCUGUACUUAAAGACAGAGGACAAUUCCUUUUCCCAUUUACUUAUAUAUUUAGAUGUUUGAUCACCCACCAGUGGCUAGCAAGACCAGACAUGGUUCCUAUCCUAAUGGGUUUACAGUCUGGUGGAUGAGACAGACAAAUUAAAUAAUCACAUACAGAAAGAAAUGUAAAUCCUAAGCAAUGCUGGAAUCAUGUGUUACUGAGAUCAUAUAACAUUGGGGGGACCUAUCAUGAGAGAUCGGUAUUUGGGAUAAGACCUUAAGAUAGAGGACUCUAGGCAGGAGAUGAACAUGUGUGAUGGCUCUUUAUGGCCAAGGCUUUGAAAGUGGGCACGUCUGGCUGGAACGCCAUUAAGACAUGAGUGUCAUCUUGUUUGUAUACCAACUUUGGGAGGGAAAUUAUCCAUAUGGUACCUUAUGCCAAAUUCUUAGUCUUUAAAUUAUGUCACAGUAGUUGAUGUUUGAGAGUCUUGUUUGUAAUUUUUUAAAAAGACUUUUCAGUUUUUAAUUUUUUGUGCAACAAAGCUUUAACCCUCUGUUUCUUAGCAUUGCCCUCCCCCACCUUUGGAGCAGACUGAAAGGGAAGUAGACAUCAUUUGAUCUGAUUUAAUGUUCACUUGCUGUUAUUUUGUUAUACUUUUCAUUCAUAUUUCAUUUAUGCUCUUAAAGUUUUAACAUUUGUUUUUCUGUGGUGUAUUUUUCUAUUUUCAGAAUUGUUUUCAUUACUUUGAGUUGAAAUCCCACAAAUCCACUCAUCUUCCUUUUCUCUUUGUCUUAAAGUAGAUUUUUCAGAGCAUAAAUAGAAGCAAGCAGACAUA